CAGUCGCCGCGGUAAUACGGAGGGUGCAAGCGUUAAUCGGAAUUACUGGGCGUAAAGCGUGCGUAGGCGGUUCGUUAAGUCUGUUGUGAAAGCCCCGGGCUCAACCUGGGAAUGGCAAUGGAUACUGGCGAGCUAGAGUGUGUCAGAGGAUGGUGGAAUUCCCGGUGUAGCGGUGAAAUGCGUAGAGAUCGGGAGGAACAUCAGUGGCGAAGGCGGCCAUCUGGGACAACACUGACGCUGAGGCACGAAAGCGUGGGGAGCAAACAGGAUUAGAUACCCCUGUAGUCCCUGUCUCUUAUAA
rnacentral:rRNA from 1 species